ensembl:lncRNA
GUGAGCCCUGAGCCGAGUCUUGGAGAAAGGCAAGGAAACCAAGAGACACUGUACAGUCAGUGCCAAAGCACAGAGAGAAGAGGCGGAAUGUUAUGUCUGCAGAGCUGCAAGUAGGCCAAUGUGGUUGAAUCCUGGCAUGAGCUAAGAAGAGAACACAAGAAGCCUGGACAAGGAGGAAGGGAACAGGUCACAAAGAGCUUUAAAUACCAAACAAAGGUGCUGCUGUUUGAUCCGGGAGGGAGCCUUUAGAGUUCAUUGAACAGAAGCAGGUGAGGGAUCACACCUGUGCUUUAGCAAAGUCUCCUUUGCAGUCGAGUAGGGGAUGGAUUGGUGUGGGGAGAGAUUUGAAGGAGGAACAGUUAAAAGAUGCUAUAAUAAUCCACCUGUGAAGUGAUGAGAGCCUAAACUAGGAUUCUGGUUGUAUGAGUGGAGAGAAGGGGACCCGCAUCAAAUAUGCUGUGAAGGUUGAAACAUCAAGAUAUGUCUCAACCUGUAUCUGGAGUCCAACUCCUCUUUGUCAGAUGGUGGGUAACAUAUUUUAUUACUGGUCCAAUAGAAUUAUAGUUUGUUAUUGAAUAUAAACAGGUUAAUAUUUUUGAUAGUCUGUCCCUUUCUGCCAA